AUAUAUAUAUAUAUAUAUAUAUAAAAAAGCUUCCGCAGUAGUGACUCAAGAGUCAAUAUGUACAGAAGUGACGAGAGGGGGCAUCUUUGACGAACCGAACGCGUGAUGUUAAAUGGUCUGGACAGAUGACCAUUUACGCGAACUAC